UACAGAGGGUGCGAGCGUUAAUCGGAAUUACUGGGCGUAAAGCGCGCGUAGGCGGCUUUGCAAGUCGGGUGUGAAAUCCCCAGGCUUAACCUGGGAAUGGCGUUUGAAACUACGGAGCUGGAGUGUGGCAGAGGGAGGUAGAAUUCCACGUGUAGCGGUGAAAUGCGUAGAUAUGUGGAGGAAUACCGAUGGCGAAGGCAGCCUCCUGGGCCAACACUGACGCUCAUGCACGAAAGCGUGGGGAGCAAACAG
rnacentral:rRNA from 1 species